rnacentral:rRNA from 1 species
CGGGACGGGUGAGUAACGCGUGGGUAACCUGCUUCAUACAGGGGGAUAACAGUUAGAAAUGGCUGCUAAUACCGCAUAAGCGCACAGGACCGCAUGGUCUGGUGUGAAAAACUCCGGUGGUAUGAGAUGGACCCGCGUCUGAUUAGCUAGUUGGAGGGGUAACGGCCCACCAAGGCGACGAUCAGUAGCCGGCCUGAGAGGGUGAACGGCCACAUUGGGACUGAGACACGGCCCAG